AGUGAUAUUAUAAGAUAUGAUACUAAUAUUAUUUAUUUGGAAAAUAAAUAAUACGGAAUUCAUCGAGAAUCGAAUAAUUAAAGGAUUAGUGGACUAAAUUGGACGAAAGAAAAGUUAGAAAGUGAAGGUUAAGGAGGUGGCAACUUCAAGGACCUAAGUGGACCUUUAACCCACUUAUUAUCAUCAAUUAUGAAUGAUUAUUCAUUCAUUCAAAGCAAAAUUUGCAGCAAAAGAAAGGAAGAACCCGUAACUCCCUUACCGCAAAAUCAACAAAUCUUCUAAACCCCAUAACUUUCUCAAUUUUGAUCCGAAUUCAGCGAUUCUCGCGGCCACGGAACGAGGAAACGAUUAUCUACAGAUCUAUGGCUUCAAUUUGAGGUGUUAUUGAGCUUGAUUAUGGAAUUUUGAUGAUGAAUUGGAGCCUAGAACUAUUCGGCAUAGAGAUUUUAUCCAAGCGUUAUCGAAUUUGCGUAGACUCGAAGGAGCGACUAUCGAUCAGGCUCGAGGCAAACGGAUCGAGAUAUUGUCAAGCUUAUUUGAAGAAUUUGGAUAGCAAGUGGGAUAGCAUGAUAUGAAUUGAAGAGUCAAUCUUCCGAAGUUCUAAUUCUCGGAAGUGAUUUGUACAAGAAGAAAAAGAAUGUUUUCAUUCUAGCAGUCCGCAGUAUACUAUUGCAUAACGCGUUUUAACUCUGAUAUUAUUUGUAAAUGGGGUCACAUGUAUUUUAAUAUAUGAAAUAUGUUUUGAUUUGCGAAAAAUUUACACAGGUUUUUAGGCUUGCUACGGGAUUUGGAGCUACCACUCCCAUUCCCUAGCGCCGGUCGCGACUCAUAAAUUUGGGUCGUGACAAAGGUGGUAUCAGAGCAAUGGUUUAGAUUCAUAGGCCAUUGCCUGUAUACGAUUGAUGUCUGUAGUUCCUAGGUAUGAUGUCACUAGGUUAAGCUAAGAACUACUGCGGAUUAUAGGGAUUUCCAGUCAUGUCUUUUGAACGUUAUCAUCGUUUUUAUCGAGUUUUGAAACGUUUUACAAAAAUGUCCUCUUCUAUAUGUGCUUUUAGGAGUCGAGUUAGAUGUGGGUAUUACACAAUCUAUGAACCGUGUUUACUCGAAUGAGCAAUACGCUUUCGAGUAUAUAUAGUCUGCGAAGAGUUGUACACUCUCGAGACUCAUAUUGUAUAAAAAUAUCGCUAUGGAUUAUGAUCGAGUUGAUUGAAUAUUAUAUGAUUGAUGAAUAAGAUAUGAAUUGUUUUGCAGUGCGAUCACUCAGGAGAGUGAUAUGCUCACAGGUACGUAAACCUGUGGUAAUUUAUAUAAUACAUGAAAUGUGUAUACCAUGAUGGAUUGCUGUGAAUAGGAUUUGUGCCUUAUAAUUGAGUGUUGCUUAAUUUGCUAAGUCCGUGGCGAACCAAAAGCUCGCAAGACUUAAAAUACGCGAAAUAGCCGAAGAAAAUCUAGGUGACACUGAUUGUUUUGGGAUUUGAUCAACAUAUAUUGUUUAUAGAUAUGCAUAGAAUACGAAUAGAACAUGUACGUUAUGCUUAGAUAUUCUUGAUGCUUGGUUAAGUCUAUGUGAGCGGAAUGCACGCAGGACUUAAGAUACAAUGCGUAACCAAGGAAAAUCUAGGAGACACAUAUUUUCUUUGAACUCGGUCAACAUAGAUUGCUUAUAGCCACGAUAGU